AGGCAGUGUAGUUAGCUAGUUGUUUUCUUGCCGAGAUGGACUUGCAUCCCGAACGGUUUAUUUCGAACAACUGCUUUUUGCACUACCACG
rnacentral:pre_miRNA from 1 species